GGUUUUUUGAAUUAUAAUUUAAGAUUAGUUCUGCUCAAUGAUUUGAAAUUAAAUAGCCGCAGUAUUUUGACUGUGCUAAGGUAGCAUAAUCAAUUGUUUUUUAAUUAAGAACUGGAAUGAAGGAAUUGAUGAGAUUAAAACUGUCUAAUAUAAAAUGUUAAAAUUUAAAUUUUAAGUAAUAAUUCUUAAAUAAAGUUAUGGGACGAGAAGACCCUAUAGAAUUUGAUAUAAUUUUUUAAAAUAAGUAUAAAAUAAUAUUUAAUAAAAUUAAUAUUUUAUUGGGAGGAUAAUUAAAUUAAAUUAACUUUAAGAUUAAAAUUAAACAUUAAUUUAUGAUAAUAGUUGAAUAAUUUUAUAAUAAUAAUUAAAAUUAAUUAAAAAUUAAUUACCUUAGGGAUAACAGCGUAAUAUUUUUAAAAAGAUCAUAUUGAUAAAAGUGUUUGCGACCUCGAUGUUGAAUUAAAAUAAAAAUUAAAUGAAGAAGUUUAAUAUUUUA
rnacentral:rRNA from 1 species